AGUGAACGCUGGCGGUAGGCCUAACACAUGCAAGUCGAACGGCAGCACAGUAAGAGCUUGCUCUUACAGGUGGCGAGUGGCGGACGGGUGAGGAAUACAUCGGAAUCUACUUUUUCGUGGGGGAUAACGUGGGGAAACUUACGCUAAUACCGCAUACGACCUACGGGUGAAAGCAUGGGAUCUUCGGACCUUGCGCGAUUGAAUGAGCCGAUGUCGGAUUAGCUAGUUGGCGGGGUAAAGGCCCACCAAGGCGACGAUCCGUAGCUGGUCUGAGAGGAUGAUCAGCCACACUGGAACUGAGACACGGUCCAGACUCCUACGGGAGGCAGCAGUGGGGAAUAUUGGACAAUGGGCGCAAGCCUGAUCCAGCCAUACCGCGUGGGUGAAGAAGGCCUUCGGGUUGUAAAGCCCUUUUGUUGGGAAAGAAAAGCAGCAGGUUAAUACCCCGCUGUUCUGACGGUACCCAAAGAAUAAGCACCGGCUAACUUCGUG
rnacentral:rRNA from 1 species